GGGGUUGUAGCUCAGAGGCAGAGCACUUGCCUAGCAUGUACAAGGCCCUGGGUUCAAUCCCCAGCACCA
rnacentral:tRNA from 1 species